GACGAACGCUGGCGGCGUGCCUAAUACAUGCAAGUAGAACGCACAGUUUAUACCGUAGCUUGCUACACCAUAGACUGUGAGUUGCGAACGGGUGAGUAACGCGUAGGUAACCUGCCUGGUAGCGGGGGAUAACUAUUGGAAACGAUAGCUAAUACCGCAUAAUAUUAAUUAUUGCAUGAUAAUUAAUUGAAAGGUGCAAUUGCACCACUACCAGAUGGACCUGCGUUGUAUUAGCUAGUAGGUGAGGUAACGGCUCACCUAGGCGACGAGACAUAGCCGACCUGGGAGGGUGAUCGGCCACAAUGGGACUGAGACACGGCCCAGACUCCUACGGGAGGCAGCAGUAGGGAAUCUUCGGCAAUGGACGAAAGUCUGACCGAGCAACGCCGCGUGAGUGAAGAAGGUUUUCGGAUCGUAAAGCUCUGUUGUAAGAGAAGAACGGGUGUGAGAGUGGAAAGUUCACACUGUGACGGUAUCUUACCAGAAAGGGACGGCUAACUACGUG
rnacentral:rRNA from 1 species